GGAUGAAGGUGUGGGAGGAUGGUGUAGGGCGGUGUAGGGCGGUGGCUCUGCAAGCAGCGUGUGGGCGCGGAGGGCCGCUCCCGUAAUGGGUUGGGCUGUGUUCUUGUGGACUCCCGUUAUCAAAAGCUUGUGGACUCCACUCUCCGAGCCCCCAGCGAGUGUGCGUCUCCGGGUCGGAGACCCCAAGGGCAUUUGAGUGCGAGAGCAGUGGGUGGAGCAUCUUUGCCCACCCACGGAGCAGCUUUUUCUAAAUCCUUCACCUCGGAGACACUACUGGGCCUUCUGCGGCCACUCUGCCUGCAGUUCAGCUCCUCGACAAAGAAAACAGGAACUCAGGGCUGAAAUCCUGUCCCGACAGGGGAAGGGGUAGCCUCUCCUGAGCGGAGCUCUCUGGGGCUGGGACUUGGCGGGUCCCACCCACGUCCCUACUGGGCUGGGGCGGAAACCCGGCGGUCGGAUUACAACCCGAUCCAAAAGUCGUGGCGGCGCCCGCAGCUAGUCAGGGCAUGCUCAGUGGGCAGAACAGGUUUUCGGGCUUAGAAAUAGGAAGCUUUUGCACCACACACCCACACCCCCACACCCCAGCUCAAAUUACCUCUCCCAGACUCGGGGCCCAUUGGUUCCGGGGCGCAAAUCUCACACCCCUAACUGUUGUUUCAUUGGCUACCGCCAAGGUUUUACCAGUUUGGGUUGCUUCAUUGGCUAAAAAGUAGCCUCGGCUCAUGAUUGGUUAUUUAUAGAGAUUGAGUUGAGAGGCGGAGGCACAGCUGUUCUUUCUCUGCUGCUCCCCCCGCCCCCUUCCUCCCACUUCCCCAACCUAGUCGUUUUGAAGCUCAGAGUGAAAAAAUAAGAGGAAUUUAGGCGGAGAGCUCAGAGCUAAAUAUAGUUCUUUGUUGGUGUUUUCGAGAGAGUCUGACUUCGCAGUGCCCAGUCACGACUGUCCCUUAACGGGAGCAGAAAGGUCUAGUUGCAGUUCUUGGUCCGCAAGCAGCAGCAAAAUGUCCAAGUUGUUUUUGCAGAGAGGGAAGUGGGGGGACUAGGGUGUGGAGAUGGGCCACUUUGAGUUCGUGUCACCCGGAGGGGUGGGGGAAUGCCCAGGCUUGCCCUUAUUAAACGUCUCUUCGUUUUGGGCGUGCAGUCUGCACAUUUGGCUGGGCUCGCACUCACGGGAGGUGCGAGGGAGAUGUCUCGACUUGCCCUGAGCCUCCCUCCCUCCUCGCGGAGGAGAGAUGUCAAGACCUGUCAGAAGACUCAGCGAAGUUUGCGUGAGCCCUAAAGUGAAGUGGGUAGGAGGGGACGGAGCUGCGUCAACCCGGGCUCCGAGUCUUGCCUUUUUUAUCCGAUGCUACUUCCCACUCCCCUUGCGCAUCACACAGACGAACCAGGCUGUGUGCUAACGUUUGGUUUCCGUUCCUUAGUCCCGCCGUGACUCACGGCCACGUUUGCGAAUUAACCUUUCCUGAGCUCCUGGCUGUAGCUCAGAAUCUGCCGGGCGAAGUCCCCCGUCGUCCGACCCGGCGGGACAUGGGCGGGGUGGGGUGGUUGGUGCCCAUCCCUGCCCCUAGCCUCACUAUUUAGUGGAGAGAACGGUUUAACCUUGACUAUCAGCGAGCCUGGAUAUAACUAGGCUUAUAUAAUUCUCCAGAAAAGCCUCUCAGAGGCGCAUUCACCUAAUGCAGCUGAAGAGAACCCCCGCAACAUUUACUUACCCAGCAUUUAAUGCCUGCCAAACGUUUUACAUGUUUCAUGUACUCCACAUAAUACUUAUUACAUGUAUUUUAAAGAUAAAGAAACUGAGGUCCUGGGAUGUUGGUUAACUUGCUUGCCAUUUCACAGCCAGUGAGUGGCCAACGUAGGAUCCCAGCCCAGGUGUUUCUCUGCAGAACCUGGUUUGUGACUAAGCCAUACUACCCUCUCACAAGAAAGGUCCCGGAUUUUCCUCUUUCUUAGGUUUGGUCUUCAGGUAGUGUGAUCAGACUGUCUCUUAAACCCAAGGGAUCUCUGCUCUGUGGUUCUCCUUUUCAUAAUGCCCCCUCCCAUGCAGUCAAGGAACCUGAACCCUCUUCUAGACCAUGCUCCAGGGAGUCAGAAUUCUGGAAUCCUCACCCAGAGAGUAACAAACCCUCCUCCAGGACUCGCAUGGGCCUCUGAACUUAGUCUUGUGUCCAAGAAUGGCUUUUUGUUGGAGUGUGGGCAGUGCUUGGACUUGUGGCCUGAGGUGCGCCCUCCCAGGCACUUUGGGCCCUACCAGGUGGGGGAAGAGGACUCAGUAGCAUCAGCUUCCCCUUCACUGCCCCUUUCCAGCCUCCUACUUGGAAGAGUCCCAGAAUUCAUGAUUCUCACCUGGCGGUCCAGAUUCUUGUAAAGGAGGUAUUUGUCAGAGUGGGAGGAUAGAUCGAUUAUUUUGUUAACAGUUCAUUCUCUUGAUUUAUAACUUAAAUACUUAGAUUACUGCUAUGUGGGCCUCUCUUUGUCCUCUUACUAAGAGGGGUUCUCAGUAUGACAGAGUAGAAAAUGCUUUGUCUUUUACAGGUCUUGGUGCCUAAUCUCAAGAGCUGGGAUAUCAGUUAUUAUCUACAGGUUCCUUGAGCUCUCCUGACUUUAGUUUCCUGGUCUAUAAAAUGGUGAUAAUAAAAUUUGCCCUACCCACCUAGCUACAUGAAGAACCUUGGAGAGAAUCUAGUGACCAAACCCCUCAUUUUGCAUCAGAGAGAACUGAGCAGAAUUAGAACCCUGGUGUCCUAGCUGUACUUUGCAUGGUGCCAGCCUGUCCUCGGGGAUAAUAAUUAACAGAUAAUGGAUGGAAACAUGCUUUUAAAGCUGCAGUACCCCAUAAAUGCAUAGCAAUUACUACCCUGCCCCAGGUAGCCCGACAGCCCCAUCUAGAAGAUAACCACCGUCAGGACUUCAGUUAGUCAUGUGGAUGGGUGUUACUGAAUCUUGGUACGAGUACCAGAAAGAUGCCACCUUGUGAAUGCUUUCUGUUAGGGAUUCUUCGGUAGUGAUUUUUAUUACAUUCAGGUAGUCUCCCACAGAAAGAUUUGCACCAGGGCUUUGGACUUCAAAAUGAAGUAAGGACAUUGCUGAUGCAGAAAUUUUUAAGGAGGGCAUCAGUAAAGAUGGAGAGAUUGAAAUCCAAGCAAUAGGAUGUCAGCUGAAUGGAUGUUUCUGAAGAGAGGACGGAGGAGGAAUCUGAGGACUCUAGUGGGAUGGCCAAAGACACAUCCUUUCUCUCCAACAGUCAAGAAAAGCCGAGAGAACUGAACUGGAGCUCAGAGGGUGAGACGCCGAGAAAGUUCAAGCUACAAGCAACCUUCUCUCCAUAAACAGAAACGGCAAGACACCUGCGGAAGGUUGGGAGGGCAGGUGUGGUCUUGGGAAUCAGAGUAGAAAUGAAACUGUUUUUAACAGCGUCUGUGUGGUUCGCAGUGUGAAGUUGCUAAGCUGCUAAAUUUGGUUUCCAUGAAUCUGUGAAGAUGCCAAUUCUGUGAAGACGCCAAUUCAAUUUUUUUUUUUUGAAGGGUCUUGAUAAGUCUUCUGGUCAGAUUCUGUUAAAAUUCCUGAGAGCUAUCUUGGAACACUGAAAAAAUAAAAUAAAAUUUUAAAAAAUUCCUGAGGGCUUUGUAUCAACACAUACAAAUAAAUAAUUAUAAAAUUAACUCUGUAUCUCCCAUAUGCCAACCUUAGUGAAAAUACACACAAACCACUGACUUGUGAUGAAAAGUUUCAUUACUCAUGGGAAAUUAAAUGAACUCAAUGAAACGGUCUUA